AUUAAAUAACUCUAGUCUAUCUGUUCCUAUAAUAUUAAAUCGCCAUCAUUGAUUCUGUUUUUAUACAGAUUGAAGUGAUAAAUCUUAGAAUACUUCAAAUAUUCUAAAAAAAAUGAACCUAUCAUCAUACAGUAAUUCUGAAUUAAUUAGCAUCAUUUGUGAUCUUCGUGAGAUUAGAGAAGCGAGUUUACCUGUUAUGAUGAAUCCCAAUAUUGGCAGGGGAUAUGGUUUUUUCGAUACUUUUCAAAUGUCCUUAAGGAUGUCUCUUUUAACAUAUCCAAUAGCUUUACUUGUAGAUAAAAUGCAACAAUACAGUAGAGCUGCUUCUACUACUAGUGAUGGCAAUUUUCGUUCCAUCCCUGAUAUUUUAUUGAACGAGCUUACUGAAGACCAACAGAUAAAACUUGCUUCUGAGAUACAAAUAUUAUUGACUAAAAACAAAAUUAUGACAAUUGAAGCUCUAUCAAAGAGAAUGAUGUCUGAUGAUGUUUUCAAAAAUGAUUUAAUAUCAAUAAUUAGAGAAUAUUUGAAAAAUUGGCUGAAUUAUUCGAUAUAAUUAAUUGACAUUGAAAAAAGUCACUCGGAUAAUAACUUCUGCAGUAGGGAUGAUUUUGGAUCACCUCGUACUACUUCCUCCAUAGUACCCUGAAAAAUUUACAGAUAUUAUUUUUUUAUGCUUCAUCGAUUCUACACCUUAUUUUUACAGUUUUAUAUUUUUAUUACUCCACCAAAGCGGAAAUAGUAGGAAUUUAUUUAGAAAUAAAUUCAUUUUAUUUAAUUUAAUAUAAAAUCGUAAAAAUAGGUAAUUUCUUUUCAUGUUAUCAAAUUUAAUAAAAAUAAUUUCAUUAUAAACUUAUAAAUAUCUUUAGUAAUAUAAUUUGCUAUUUAAUUUUGGGAAUUAUGUUACGAGUAAUAUAUUUAAGAACUGAUAAAUAUUAGAUUGAUUUUUUAAAUCAAUAAAAUUUAAUUCUAAUUAAUAUACCAAAUAACGUAAAUAUCCAGAAAAAUCAUUCAGUGAGUAGAUAAAUAAUUAUCAAUAAUAAAGUGAAAAAGGGCCCGAAAGUUAACCAUGGAAUAUUUUCAUCUAUUGCAGUUUGUUGCAACUACAAUUUAAUUAUUAGGCAUGAAUAAUAAAAUUAAACAGAAAAUACGAGGAAAUUAUGCGUAAAGAAUCAAUUUAUAUUCGGCACUGUGAAAAAGCAUUACUAUUUUAUUACACUAAUAUAUCUUCAUCAAGGAUGAUAAAGUAUUGAUGUUUAUUGCGAAUUAUUAUAAUAAAUUGAAACUUUGAAUGCCCAUUGCCAUAAGGUUAUUUAAAUUAUAUUCGGAAAAAUAAAAUUAAAUAUUCAGAAUGAUAAAAGGAA